CGGCCGCGUCGACGCUGGCGGCGUGCUUAACACAUGCAAGUCGAACGGUGAAGGGAUUGGCUUUUGUUGGUCCUGGAUGAGUGGCGAACGGGUGAGUAACACGUGAGUAACCUGCCCCCUUCUUCUGGAUAACCGCAUGAAAGUGUGGCUAAUACGGGAUAUUCUGGGUCUGUCGCAUGGCGGGCCCGGGAAAGAUAUUGUUUCGGUGGGGGAUGGGCUCGCGGCCUAUCAGCUUGUUGGUGGGGUGAUGGCCUACCAAGGCGGUGACGGGUAGCCGGCCUGAGAGGGUGGACGGUCACACUGGGACUGAGACACGGCCCAGACUCCUACGGGAGGCAGCAGUGGGGAAUAUUGCACAAUGGGCGCAAGCCUGAUGCAGCGACGCCGCGUGAGGGAUGGAGGCCUUCGGGUUGUAAACCUCUUUCAGUAGGGAAGAAGCGAAAGUGAC
rnacentral:rRNA from 1 species